AGUUUGAUCUCAGACUGCUGUGCUAGCAGUCAGCGAGACUCCGUGGGCGUAGGACCCUCCGAGCCAGAUACAAAAAGAAAAAUUACUGUCAUGUGAUGUGUGAUCCAUGAUACCAUCAUAGUUUUGUUCCAAGACCAUCCUCAAGGAGUUUAAUGAAUGUGACAUCACAAGAAAAAUAUGCAUCAACAUUGAAAAAUAUGGUGCCUCCCUCUGGGACAGAGCGCAGUUAUAUUUCCUGCAUAGUAUGGAAAAGAAAUAAAAUUCCAUUAACAGAGCUUGAGGAAGUGGACUUGACUAAGCUGGAGUAAGGAGUGCAGAGAGUGAGGAGACAGGAUGCGAAACAAGAGGUCCCACAAUAGGCUGUCUGCAAGUUUGAGGAGCAAGGAGAGCCAUCCCUAGUCUCAAAACUGAAGAACCUGGAGUCCGAUGUUGGAGGGCCGGAAGUAUCCAGCACAGGAGAAAGAUGUAGACUGGGAGGCUAGGCCAAUCUUGCCUUUUCAAGUUUUUCUGCCGGUUUUAUAUUCACUUACAGCUGAUUACAUUGUGUCCACCAGAUUAAGGGUGAGUUGGCCGUCCCCAGCC
rnacentral:antisense_RNA from 1 species